rnacentral:lncRNA from 1 species
AAAAAUGUCAAAUUUUGUGUUUUUUUAGAUGAGAGGUCAAAUAUUGAGUUUCAUUGCUCAAUAUGACUAUCUCAAAAGUUAACUCAAUUUAAUUAGUAUUUGUAUUGGACGAAUUAAUAAGGUAGGGUGGAUAUUUGCAAAAAAUAAAAAAUAAAAAGACAUAUUUAUUAUUAAAUUGAGAUUUAUUAAAAAAGAAAAAGAAGAAAAAACAUCUCUUGAAGGCACAAAGACGCAAACUAAGGGCACAAAACUUGAAAAGAGAAGGAAAAACUAAGUAACUUAAUACUGAAACUCAGGAUAAUCAUCCAUGUCAUUCGACCAACGCCCAUGGACAACAUUAUUCAUUGCAAUCAUACUGGGCCUAUUGGUGAGGUCAACCACAAAUUCCC